GCGAACGCUGGCGGCAGGCCUAACCCAUGCAAGUCGAACGAACCUUUCGGGGUUAGUGGCGGACGGGUGAGUAACACGUGGGAACGUGCCUUUAGGUUCGGAAUAACUCAGGGAAACUUGUGCUAAUACCGAAUGUGCCCUUCGGGGGAAAGAUUAAUCGCCUUUAGAGCGGCCCGCGUCUGAUUAGCUAGUUGGUUGAGGUAAUGGCUCACCAAGGCGACGAUCAGUAGCUGGUCUGAGAGGAUGAUCAGCCACAUUGGGACUGAGACACGGCCCAAACUCCUACGGGAGGCAGCAGUGGGGAAUCUUGCGCAAUGGGCGAAAGCCUGACGCAGCCAUGCCGCGUGAAUGAUGAAGGUCUUAGGAUUGUAAAAUUCUUUCACCGGGGACGAUAAUGACGGUACCCGGAGAAGAAGCCCCGGCUAACUUCGUG
rnacentral:rRNA from 1 species